UCAUCACUCCCACUUUGUCAAGCGUAACUGCGACCGCGUUGCCCUUUGGGAAGCGUAGUUCUGCGGUGACUGGGCCCCUCCCCCUCCAGGCCCAGGCGCGGCAGUAAGGCGGGCGAGCUGGCGGAGGUGGAAUACCGGUUUCUAAUCGCCCACCCGGAAGGGUAACUUGGCGGGGAGGACUCUGGAGACGCUCCUGGGGUCGGGGUGGCCGCGAACGUGGCUCGAGCUCCACGCCUUUGGUGAGAAGGCGGACGAGACCAAAUGCCAGCUUGAGAGAGUUUAGCAGGAGUCUGUUAACAAGUGUCACACCAUGCUUCUGCCAAGUUUCUGAUUAAAGAUUGACAUCCCUGCAUAAGCAUUUCCCUGUUAAAAUGUCCUUGCCUCUUACAGAGGAGCAGAGGAAAAAAAUUGAAGAGAACCGGCAAAAGGCUCUGGCCCGUAGAGCUGAGAAAUUAUUAGCAGAACACCAUCAGAGCGCAGGCUCUAGCUCCUCCAUUAUUGCCACCAACUCUUCCCAGUCCAAGCAGGGCCCUUCCCCAAACCUCCCCAGGGAUCCUUCUAAGCCAGUGAACCAUGGUGUUGUUUUCAUGCAGCAGAAUCUCAAUAGUUCAUCUAAUGGUGACCAAAGACCUCCUAAUUCCCACAGUUUUCAUCUAAGCGCUCCAGAGCAGGCAAAGGGGAUCUGGAAGAGGCGAGAAGAUGUGCCCACAGCCUGCCCAGGCCACAGCCCAUUAGGUCAAAUGACUCUCACUGGCAUCUCUCCUCCCUUGGCACAAAGUCCUCCAGAGGUCCCCAACCAACAGCUGUUGGGUGGUAUGUUAGGUCAACAUCAUCCUCAGGCUUCACACGAGAUCAGAUCCACACUCUUCGCUAACAGAACUCAUGAGCCUUUGGCCAAAGCCAAGAGUCUCCAGAAGUCACCAGCUUCUUUCUUUGGACAGCCACCCAGGGAUCCUGGAGUAGAGGCCAAGGCAGUGAGGCCCUCCACCUCGGGGCAGGACAUUUCUGACACAAACUGUGGCUCAGGGAUCGUGGCACCUGGGACAGAAGGAAGAUGCCCACAGAAAUUGGGGGUCUCACUCCAAAAAGCAGGAAGCUCCCAGAAGGGAACGUGCAUAAGGAGUGGGGAUCGUUUCCAGGUGAAGAUCGGCUACAAUGCAGAGCUCAUUGCGGUUUUUAAGCGUCUACCCAGCAGAAGUUACGAUCCUGCCACCAAGACGUGGAACUUCAGCAUGACCGACUACGGUGCCCUAAUGAAAGCAGCCCAGAGCCUCCCCACGGUCACCCUGCAGCCCUUGGAAGGGGCGGAGGACAGCAGGGGGUCACCCUCCACCGCUGGCGUGGCCCAGACCUGCCUGCCUUCAGCUCCCUCCCUGGCCUUUGUCAAAGGGCAAUGUGUGCUCAUCUCCCGGGUCCGCUUCGAGGCAGACAUCGGCUACUCCGAAGACCUGAUUGCACUGUUCAAGCAGAUGGAGUCCAGAAAUUACGAUGUCAAGACCAGGAAGUGGAACUUUCUCUUGGAAGAACACAAUAAACUAAUCCAGAGCGUGGGCUGCCUUCCGCAAGUUCAGCUGGAUCCUCUGCCCAAGACACUCACCCUGGCAUUCGCGUCACAGCUAGAGAAGACGUCUCCCUGUCUCACAGAACCCAUCCCCGAGGCAGACCUUUCUGGAGUGGACCCCAAGCUUGUGUCCAAUCUGCUGCCCUUCCAGAGAGCCGGAGUCAAUUUUGCCAUAGCGAAGAGAGGCCGCCUGCUGCUGGCUGACGACAUGGGCCUGGGGAAGACCAUCCAAGCCAUCUGUAUCGCGGCCUUUUACCGGAAGGAGUGGCCGCUCCUGGUGGUGGUCCCGUCAUCUGUGCGCUUCACCUGGGAGCAGGCCUUCCUUCGGUGGCUGCCGUCUCUGAGCCCGGACCGCAUCAAUGUCGUGGUGACCAGCAGGGACCGCCUGACGGCUGGCUUGGUCAACAUUGUCAGUUUUGACCUUCUGAGCAAGUUAGAAAAACAGCUAAAGACCCCCUUUAAAGUUGUCAUCAUUGAUGAAUCUCACUUCCUCAAGAACAUUAAGACUGCCCGCUGUCGUGCAGCUAUGCCCCUCCUCAAGGCUCCAUCCCCAGGCGGCAGCAGAACAGCGACGUGGGGAAUCGGUUUGGGAAGACAGGCCAAUUUUCUCUCAUUGGUUGCAAAGAGGGUGAUCCUGCUGUCUGGCACGCCAGCGAUGUCCCGGCCCGCAGAGCUCUACACCCAGAUCAUCGGGGUCAGGCCAACUUUCUUCCCUCAGUUUCAUGCUUUUGGACUUCGCUACUGUGAUGCCAAGCGGCAGCCCUGGGGAUGGGAUUAUUCGGGCUCCUCCAACCUGGGCGAGCUGAAGCUCCUGCUGGAGGAAGCGGUCAUGCUGCGACGCCUCAAGUGUGACGUCCUGGCCCAGCUCCCGCCCAAGCAGCGCAAGAUGGUAGCCAUUGUCCCUGGCCAGAUCAGCACCAAGGCCAGAGCCGCCCUGGACGCCGCGGCCAAGGAAAUGACCACCAUGAACAAAACUAAACAGCAGCAGAAAGAAGCCCUCCUUCUCUUCUUCAACAGAACAGCUGAAGCUAAAAUCCCAUCUGUCAUUGAAUAUAUCCUGGACCUCCUGGAAAGUGGAAGAGAGAAGUUUCUAGUAUUCGCACACCAUAAGGUAGUCCUGAGUGCAAUUACAAGAGAGCUUGAGAAAAAGCACGUGCCGUACAUCCGCAUCGACGGCUCCACCUCGUCGGCAGACCGGGAGGACCUCUGCCAGCAGUUCUGUCUGUUCGAGAAGCACGCCGUGGCCGUGCUGUCCAUCACCGCUGCCAACAUGGGCCUCACCUUCUCCUCGGCUGACCUGGUGGUGUUUGCUGAGCUGUUCUGGAAUCCAGGGGUGCUGCUCCAGGCUGAGGACCGGGUGCACCGAAUUGGACAGUCGAGCUCCGUGAGCAUCCACUACCUCGUGGCGAGAGGCACAGCUGACGACUACCUCUGGUAUGGCUGGCCACGGGGCUUGAGCGAGGGUUGAACGCCAGUGAUGUGUUUCCUUCGCUCCCUAAGCACUUCUGCUCUUGCUGAUGUCUUCAGGGACCCAUGCAGAAGACCCAGGUGUCAUGCCCUCCCACUUCCACCGCCCCUAAUUCAAGAGAAGAUUAAAGUUCUGGGUGAGGCCGGACUUUCUGAGACCAAUUUUUCAGAAAUGACAGAAGCUACUAAUUACUUGUACAAGGACCCAAAGCAGCAGAAGAUCUAUGACCUCUUCCAGAAGUCCUUUGAGGAGGACGGAAGUGACAUGGAGCUCCUGGAGGCCGCGGAAUCCUUUGACCCCGGAAGUGCUUCUGGUGCACCUGGAAGCGAUUCCCAGGACCUGGGCGACGCGGUGGACGAAAUCACGUUGACGGGCAGCCCCGUGAAGAAAAGGAGAUUUGAAUUUUUUGAUAAUUUCGACAGCUUUACCUUUCCCCUAUAAGAAGGGGGGGGCGGAAAGCAUUUAAAAAUCAUGGAAAUAAAACAAGGUGUUUGAAGCUUGUGCUCCUCUUGACGUCACAGCAGUGCUGCCAUGUCUCCGGCCCGCGGGCUCGCAGGCCUCGGCGCAGCAUUUCCUUUCUGGCCUUUCUGUGCGGGUCGCCUGGGGUCUUCACCUUAGCUUUUCCGGCUGAGAAACAGAGCGAGCAGAUUGUAGUAAUGAUAACUCCUGUUCUUUAAGUAACGAGGUGCUUCCUGUGCAACCCCUGGAAUUUGGGUUUUUAAAAUGUAUUGAUUGAACAAGUAUUUAUAGAGCAGCUGAUACGUGCCAGGCAGCGUUCUAGGUGCCGGCAGUAAUUCAACAAGAGAGAGAAAGCCGGUGCCUUUGUAGAAGUUACAUCACAGGAGAGAUCAUAGUUACACAUCCUACGAAGAAAAGUAAAGUUAAGGAGGCAAGGGUUUAGAGCAGGAGGUGACAAGCCUUUUCUGUCAAUAGUCAGACAGUAAAUAUAUUUGGCUUUAUGGGCCAGGUUGUCUCUGUUGGAAUGACUCAACUCUGCUGCUAUAGGACAAAAGCUACCCUAGGUAAUCCAGAAACAAAUGAUUAUGGCUCUUUUCCAAUAAAACUCUGUUACGGACACUGAAAUGCGAAUCCGUACAAUUUUCAUGGCCACGAAUUUUUCUUUUGAUUUUUUUUCAACCAUUAAAAAAUGUAAAAACUGUGCUUAGUCCACGGGCCAUACAAAAGCAGGCAGUGGGCAGGAUUUGGCCCACAAAGCAUAAUUUGCUAACUCCUAGUUUAGAGCAGCCCCGUCCAACAGAAGUAUAACACAAGCCACAGAUGUGAACUCAAUUUUCUAAAAGGGUAUUUUAAAAAAUAAAGAAGGAUCAAAUUAGUAAUAUUUUAACUCAGUGUCUUCAAAAUGUCGGCUCAACAUACAAUCACUAUUAAAAACUUACUGAGACACUUCUACGAUUACAUUCUUUUCUUUCAUGCUAUAUACCCAGUGUGUAUCUGUUGCUAACAGCACC